CCUACGGGAGGCAGCAGUGAGGAAUAUUGGUCAAUGGACGCGAGUCUGAACCAGCCAAGUAGCGUGAAGGAUGACUGCCCUAUGGGUUGUAAACUUCUUUUAUAUGGGAAUAAAAUGUUCCACGUGUGGCUUAUUGUAUGUACCUCAUGAAUAAGGAUCGGCUAAUUCCGUGCCAGCAGCCGCGGUAAUACGGAAGAUCCGAGCGUUAUCCGGAUUUAUUGGGUUUAAAGGGAGCGUAGGUGGCUAGUUAAGUUAGUUGUGAAAGUCCGCGGCUCAACCGUAGAAUUGCAGUUGAAACUGGCAGGCUUGAGUACAGUAGAGGUAGGCGGAAUUCGUGGUGUAGCGGUGAAAUGCUUAGAUAUCACGAAGAACUCCGAUUGCGAAGGCAGCCUACUGGACUGUAACUGACGCUGAGGCUCGAAAGUGUGGGUAUCAAACAGGAUUAGAUACCCGUGUAGUC
rnacentral:rRNA from 1 species